rnacentral:lncRNA from 1 species
UGUACUGGCCCUUCUGGCUAUAGAUCCUUGAGCAAGACCCUUCUUUCUCCUUGUAGGCUCUAGUAUCCUCAUCUGAAAAAUCAGAGGAAAAGAAAUAGAGAAGAAGGAAGAGGUGAUGGUAGUUCCAUGACUGUCCCUGUGUCUGCUACACCUAAUCUCCCUUUCUUCAGAACUGACUUCUAAGUGGACAAGUUGGGAGUGUCACCUUCUUCAAAGGAGGCCUUGUUUUCAUACUUUGGGAUCUUCAGUAUCUAGUAGAGUGUCUGGCACAGAAUCCGGCUCCCCCUUACCCCCUUUCUUCCAAAAGGAGGAUCAGCCUUACCUGUCUGCUUUUGUGAGGAUUAAAAAUCACCAGGUAUGGGGGAGAGAGUUUCUCAAAGGCUCCUUGUUCCCUGAGGGCCAUCACACUAAAUGGAGGAUGACGAUGAAGAUCUGCUUUCUGUAGCCAUGAGGAACACAUUCCAGCAUUUUGACUAAGCCCUUGAACUUGUCCCAGUCUCAGAAGUGCUCAUCUGUACCUCUGCCAGCAGAUGGAGAUGUUUGACAACAGAGAAAAUAGCCCAACUAAAGCCAUCAUCAAUCACUUCACUCUGAAGGCUCCAACAAUGCAGGACCAGUAUUGGUUCAGUGGAAUCUUCUUCUUCUAAAGCACCAUUUCCCAAGCUAAUUUGACUACAGAACACAUUGGGUCUUGUAAUAAAU